CAGUCGCCGCGGUAAUACGUAGGGUGCAAGCGUUGUCCGGAAUUAUUGGGCGUAAAGAGCUCGUAGGCGGUGUUGUAAGACUGAUGUGAAAUCCCCGGGCUCAACCUGGGAACUGCAUUGGUGACUGCAACGCUGGAGUGCGGCAGAGGGGGAUGGAAUUCCGCGUGUAGCAGUGAAAUGCGUAGAUAUGCGGAGGAACACCAGUGGCGAAGGCGGCUUACUGGCUCAUACUGGACGCUGAGGUGCGAAAGCGUGGGGAGCAAACAGGAUUAGAUACCCGGGUAGUCCCCUGUCUCUUAUA
rnacentral:rRNA from 1 species